rnacentral:rRNA from 1 species
UACAGAGGUCUCAAGCGUUGUUCGGAUUCAUUGGGCGUAAAGGGUGCGUAGGUGGUGGGGUAAGUCGGAUGUGAAAUCCCGGGGCUCAACCCCGGAACUGCAUUCGAAACUGCCUUGCUCGAGUACUGGAGAGGAGACUGGAAUUUACGGUGUAGCAGUGAAAUGCGUAGAUAUCGUAAGGAAGACCAGUGGCGAAGGCGAGUCUCUGGACAGUUACUGACACUGAGGCACGAAAGCUAGGGGAGCAAACAGG